rnacentral:rRNA from 1 species
GACGAACGCUGGCGGCGUGCUUAACACAUGCAAGUCGAACGGAAAGGCCCUGCUUUUGUGGGGUGCUCGAGUGGCGAACGGGUGAGUAACACGUGAGUAACCUGCCCUUGACUUUGGGAUAACUUCAGGAAACUGGGGCUAAUACCGGAUAGGAGCUCCUGCUGCAUGGUGGGGGUUGGAAAGUUUCGGCGGUUGGGGAUGGACUCGCGGCUUAUCAGCUUGUUGGUGGGGUAGUGGCGUACCAAGGCUUUGACGGGUAGCCGGCCUGAGAGGUGGACCGGCCACCUUGGGACUGAGAUACGGCCCAGACUCCUACGGGAGGCAGCAGUGGGGGAUAUUGCACAAUGGGCGGAAGCCUGAUGCAGCAACGCCGCGUGCGGGAUGACGGCCUUCGGGUUGUAAACCGCUUUCGCCUGUGACGAAGCGUGAGUGACGGUAAUGGGUAAAGAAGCACCGGCUAACUACGUG